AAACUUUAAUCCUUCGAGGGUGUAUGUAUCAUAUGUGUGCGCAGAUAAAAACCACGAGCCACUAGUGUAUAAUAUACAUAUAUGUAUAUUUAAAAAAAAUCAAUUAUUCUUUUGCGCUUUGGAUGAACUGAAUUGUAAGAAAGAACUUUUCUUCACACACUGGUGACACGGAAGUCUCGUUUUCAACAACUGCUAUUUGCAAGAAUGUGAUUGCUACAAAAGUAAUUUAUCAAACAAUAUAUAUAUGUAUUGCCAAUACUGUCAAGUAAUACUUUAUCUAUAAUGUGAAUUUUAUGAGAAAAAUAUAUUACACUUUUGAAACACGUACUUUUACGAUAGUAAGAAAAUUCGGUGUAGACUAUAGAAUUCGGUAUAGUACAUAGUUGUCGAUUCUGAGGUUACUUGGAGGAGACUAACAUAAUGUUUACUGAUAUUUGUGCUUAUCGUGGUAUCAUAGAUAUAUUUGUAUUUUCAGUACGUAAUGUAAGUAAAAAUCUGACAAAUCUUGAAUAUAAAUGAAACCGUUUCCACACACACACACACACACACACACACACACACACACACACACGCACGCAC